rnacentral:rRNA from 1 species
UUCCUACGGGGGGCAGCAGUAGGGAAUCUUCCACAAUGGACGAAAGUCUGAUGGAGCAACGCCGCGUGAGUGAAGAAGGGUUUCGGCUCGUAAAGCUCUGUUGGUAGUGAAGAAAGAUAGAGGUAGUAACUGGCCUUUAUUUGACGGUAAUUACUUAGAAAGUCACGGCUAACUACGUGCCAGCAGCCGCGGUAAUACGUAGGUGGCAAGCGUUAUCCGGAUUCAUUGGGCGUAAAGCGCGCGCAGGCGGGCC